rnacentral:snoRNA from 1 species
UUGUGAUGCUCUACAAAUGUCUGACCUGAAUGCACAGUGUGGAUUUAUCUUUGACUGAAA